rnacentral:rRNA from 1 species
UACGUAGGGUGCAAGCGUUGUCCGGAAUUACUGGGCGUAAAGAGCUCGUAGGUGGUUUGUCGCGUUGUCCGUGAAAACUCACAGCUCAACUGUGGGCUUGCAGCUGAUACGGGCGGGCUGGAGUUCGGUAGGGGAGACUGGAAUCCUGGUGUAGCGGUGAAAUGCGCAGAUAUCAGGAGGAACACCGGUGGCGAAGGCGGGUCUCUGGGCAUUAACUGACGCUGGAGGAGCGAAAGCAUGGGGAGCGAACAGGA